CAACAGGGAUUCCCCUAGUAACGGCGAGUGAAGCGGGAACAGCUCAAAUUUGAAAUCUGGCCCUCGGGUCCGAGUUGUAAUUUGUAGAGGAUGCUUUUGGUGCGGUGCCUUCCGAGUUCCCUGGAACGGGACGCCUUAGAGGGUGAGAGCCCCGUACGGUUGGACGCCUAGCCUCUGUAAAGCUCCUUCGACGAGUCGAGUAGUUUGGGAAUGCUGCUCUAAAUGGGAGGUAUAUUUCUUCUAAAGCUAAAUACUGGCCAGAGACCGAUAGCGCACAAGUAGAGUGAUCGAAAGAUGAAAAGCACUUUGAAAAGAGGGUUAAAUAGCACGUGAAAUUGUUGAAAGGGAAGCGUUUAUCACCAGACUUUUUCUAGGGGGAUCAUCCGGUGUUCUCACCGGUGCACUUCCCCUGGUUGAGGCCAGCAUCGGUUUUCGGAGGGGGAUAAAAGCUUCGGGAAUGUGACUCCCUCGGGAGUGUUAUAGCCCGUUGCAUAAUACCCUUCUGGGGACCGAGGUUCGCGCAUCUGCAAGGAUGCUGGCAUAAUGGUGAUCAACGACCCGUCUUGAAACACGGACCAAGGAGUCGAACAUUUAUGCGAGUGUUUGGGUGUCAAACCCUCACGCGUAAUGAAAGUGAACGGAGGUGAGAGCCCUUACGGGUGCAUCAUCGACCGAUCCUGAUGUCUUCGGAUGGAUUUGAGUAAGAGCAUAACUGUUCGGACCCGAAAGAUGGUGAACUAUGCGUGGAUAGGGUGAAGCCAGGAGAAAUCCUGGUGGAGGCUCGCAGCGGUUCUGACGUGCAAAUCGAUCGUCAAAUCUGCGCAUGGGGGCGAAAGACUAAUCGAACCAUCUA
rnacentral:rRNA from 1 species